UACAGUAGACAAGCCAAAAUAAUUUGCAUAAAACACAAUGGAAAGUGGCUGAGAAGAGGACAAUUUAGGAAAAUGAUCUCUCCAGGAAUGCUGCCAAGAGGAAUUAUCAUGCUCCUCACGAUCCCAGCAUGGAGUCUGUGUUUCUGCUCAGCUUCCUCUCUUCCACAGCCUGCUGGCCCUCUCAGCUCUGUGCUGGCUCAGGUAGAGAUAGCUUCUUUCCCCUUGUUUGUCCCAUAAAUCAGUUUCCAUAAAGCAUUUAUUUUCCAUUUUUCUAGAUAUGAUUUAUGGGAGAUGAAAUAUUUCCUGGUAAGAAGAAAAUCUAGAAGCGAGGUUACUACCUACAAAGAGAUUUACAAAAGCUUGCAGAAAAGUUACUCUAAAG
rnacentral:lncRNA from 1 species